rnacentral:rRNA from 1 species
UUACGGGAGGCAGCAGUAGGGAAUCUUGCACAAUGGGCGCAAGCCUGAUGCAGCAACGCCGCGUGCGCGAUGAAGGCCUUCGGGUCGUAAAGCGCUUUUCUGGAGGACGAGAAGGGACGGUACUCCAGGAAGAAGGCUCGGCUAACUACGUGCCAGCAGCCGCGGUAAAACGUAGGAGCCUAGCGUUAUCCGAAUUUACUGGGCGUAAAGCGCGUGCAGGCGGCUUCGUAAGUGGAUUGUGAAAUCUCCCGGCUCAACUGGGAGGGGACGGUCCAGACUGCGCGGCUGGAGGCAGGGAGAGGGAGGUGGAAUUCCCGGUGUAGUGGUGAAAUGCGUAGAGAUCGGGAGGAACACCUGUGGCGAAAGCGGCCUCCUGGCCCUGACCUGACGCUGAGAUGCGAAAGCUAGGGGAGCGAACGGGAUUAGAUACCCCGGU